CAUGGAGUCAUCACCUAGGCAAGACUCAUGAACACUGCAUUUUGCUUCUCAGUAGGAUUGUGGGAUGCUGUGGGGUCACACAUAUUUGGAUCAAAAUCUCAAUGCCUGCCAUGUACUGGUUUGAUGAUCUUGGGUAAACCUCAACCUGUCUGAAACUCAGCUUCCCUUCUGGAAAAGAGUAUCGGGUUGGUAGUAAAUCAACAACAGAACAAAAAUUUGGCCACCACCUGCCAGAAUUGUCACUCUGCAACAGGAAGACUCAAAGGAGAUGAAAAACUCAAGUGAACUUUCUGUAGAAAACCACCCACGAGGGC